UGGGAAGUGUAGAACCGUACAUUUAUCUUGCCUCACACAUAAAUGUCGUUUUCUGAUUGGCUGAGGGCUCUUCUAUUAUUUCCAAUGUAGCCUGCUUACAAGCGAGUAACAUUUGCUAUGUACACCGCUGGGAAU